AGCGGCGGGAGGAGCCCGCCCGCCGCGGCGGGGAGGCGGCGUUGGCGGCCGGGCCGCGGCUUGUGCGACCGAGCGAGCCCCCUGCAGCGCCCCGCGGCCCGCCCCUCUCCGCAGAGCUGCGGCCGGGCGCUCCAGCCGCUCGGCCCGCUGAGGGGUGCGGAGCAGCGGCCGCCAGCGCGGGGCCCGGUACUUGCCUGCGCUCCUGACUAACGAGUGUUUAUUUCGCGUUGUUAUCGUUCUUUUAAUUAGUAUUUGGUGUCUGCUUCACACGGCACGGCACGUACCUGUACAGCAGCACCCGCACCCGGGGGGUGCCGGGGGUGCCGGGGUGCGGUGGCGGCGCUGCCCGCCUGGCUGCGCCUCUCCUGCCCCGGGCCGUCCGGUCCCGCCGCCGGCGGCCGAGCGGGGCAUUAGGCACCGUUACCCAUUAGCAGACGUCAAAGGACUCACGUUCGCUUUUCCGUGGGGAGGAGGUCAGCGCCGGCGGCGUGGGUGCGUAUAGGAGCUGACAGGGACGAGAAACAGAUUCCCAGGAAAGGAGCAGAGACUCGAUAACUAUAAUCCCGUGCCCACUGAUCUCCCUGUUACGUUGAGCUGAAAGGUUCGGCUUAUCCAGAUUUCGGUAAGCUUUUUAUUAGGACCAGGCCAGCUCAGCACUGAACAGUGUUCUGUAUUUUCUGUGCUGAUUUUGGGACAGAUUUUUUUCUAGAAGGCUAAGAUUUUGCUCAUGACCAGUGAACGCUGCGUGGGCCCUGUCCUUUAUGCAUCCCCAUAAUCUUGUCCUGCAGCUUCUCCAAGUUCUCUCUUCCUGCGGCAAUCAAAACUGAGGUUUGCUAGGAAGCUCUAGCCCUGACAAUUAACAAGAAAGCAAUCUAAAUGUGAACUGGCAGCUAAACAUGAACUUUCCCAGAGGACAAAGGAAAGGGGUAGAUGUGGAUCAGGCUUGUUCACCUCAGCAGUUGAGUGCAGAGAUCCAGCAGCAAACACAUUGCUGAGCUGCUGACAAACCCCAUGAGACUGAGAUUGCUUGCAAAAUCUUGGGAUUCCUGAAAGAGAUUUAGUGGAAGAAGUCUGCUUUUAUUUUUCCAAUCUGCCUCACUUUAAAUUUCCCAGCUGCAUAGCUUCCAUUUUAGAAACUCUUUAGCUGGGGUCAUUGGUAUUAUUGUUUAAGCAUAAUCUCUUUGAGACUGGCUUUUGCUUACUUUAUCUGCACUACUUUACCUGCAGAGCAUUGCUGACUGUUCCCAGAAGGUGAAUGCCUCAGUUUUCCAGUGAUACUAUUUUCUACAGAAGAAUUUAACUAAUGCCCUGGGUUUUCCUGCUUUUGACUUGAGGAUCCAUGCAAAAUUGCUGGCAGUCUCUAUAUGCUACCUAGCAUAGUUUGAAAGUGUAUGUAUAAGUAAAACAGAGCAUUUGAUGCUGACAUUAAAACAAAGUGCUUUUCAGAUGCUGUGUUUGUAAACUUAACAUACAUUCCUGUACUGCCAGUGAGGAGAAUCAAGCGGUUUGUUAAUGUGGAGUUGGGGAGUCAUUUUAUGUUGACAACAUUGUGUAACCAUUGUAGGGAGAGAAAGGAAGAAAAGUUAUUCUUUUUAGCUUUCAAGGGAAUUUUAAGCACACAAAAUGCUCUAAUUGAAAAUUAUCCAGGAAGCUGGAAUUAACCACCCUUGUCUCACAAAAAAAAAAAAAAAAAAAAAAAGUUAGAAGAUCAUAUGACAAUCAUGAGUUUCCAUUGGAAAGUGAGAGACCAUGAAUGAAAAGCCAUUAUUUAAUGUGUUCUGCUGCUUAUCUUUCUCAGUUCUCUUCUACAGCCAUUGUGUUGCCAUCUUUGCUCACCCCGUGCACUGUUCUACAUCCAAAGGCAACACAAGUGGUUUUUGACUGUAACCUGCACAUCCUGCUGGGGCAUUCAGGGAGCUCUGUCACUGCCGGCGGGGUUCACAUGCAACAGCAUCAACAUGGGCAAGUACCCAUGAAACCUUAUUUAAAAAAACAAAACCAAAACCAAAACCGAAACAAAACAAAACAAAACCCCCAGUGUUUUUAAAAUCUAGAAAUGCCUAAUCUAUAAUGCAGUUACUAAAUCGUUCAGAAUUUGCAUUUCUGUCCAUUUUCCCAUAGAAAAAACAGCACUAAUCCUCAGCUUUUACCUCCAGGUAUCUGUAAGAGAAGUAUCAGCUCUACUAAUGUGCUAGAUGGAAACUUUAGUUCGUGUCUUUCAACAGGUGAAGAUCAGAUGGCUCUGACACCGGCGGAUCUCUGUCGGUGUGUGACAGCCUGUCCCUACUUCGUCAGUUACACACCGCACCGGCAGCCCAUCACCCCUGCACCGACCCGCACGGGUGGCGGGCAGCCGGGGGCUGGAGCGGCUGGGCACCUGCCCCCCCCCCAGCUCCCGUGCCCGCGGCCGGCCUGCAGGUUUUCCCUGGCAGACAUUGCUGCGCAGCGCAGCCUUUUAAGGGAGAACUAUCUAUUCUGGGUUUGUCUUCUUCGCUAAAUAAGGCUUUGUAGACGGGGCCGCCCUCCCUGACUCGGUGUCUACAUCCCUUCUCAGUGCCUGAUGAGGAACGUCCCGCUGCUCCCACCGCAUAUCGGCGUUUGAGCUCCAGAUGAUGCCCUCUGUGCUUGGUGCCUCCCACAGCCUGCGGGAACCUCGCUGGCCCGGCGUGGGCUUGUCCACCUUUACUGGGCUUGCAGGCGGAGGGAAGGCUGCCCGCCCCUGUGCGCGGGUUGGUGCGCUGCCUCUCGGGGAAGGGCUCUCCCUCUCGCCUGGCUGCAAGCCUGUGCUGGACGGGUCGCCCGGCGCCGCCUCGGAUUGUUUGGGAAGCCUGCGGGGCUGCCGGCUGUCAGGAGAAAGUUCCUCCGAAGGCAUCCUUGCAUGAAGAGUGAGCACCGCGGGGUGCGCUCGGCAGCUGCGGGACCGGCGGUGCGCCCUGUAACCUUUUGACAGUGCACCCAGGAACCACAGUUACAACGAGUCAUUGAUUCGUUUUCUGCUUGAGUGCCACAAAACAUUUUGAAGAAAUGGAAGAAGAUAAAGGGCAGAGUGCUAAAGCUACCAGUGCGGUGGGGGACUUGAGAAAAAGUUGGCAGACCUGGGCAGAGGAUCACAUUGAGUAUCAGAGAAAGAACCCGUUCAGCAACGACAACAGACUUGCGUCUAAAUCUGUGCAUACUCGCAGAGGAGAUCCUACCUACGGAAGACCCCCUGAAGGGUCUCAGACAGAGAAGAGAGGGAAAGAUGCUCACUCACACGUGGGUAAGGAAGUAGAAGAGCUGUGCUUGAUCAUUAGAAACACUGGAGAGGUGGGAGAAGAUGGACAUGUGAGUGUGACAUUCGGGCAGCUGUUUGAAACAUACGUGACUAUUUCCAAUAAAGUAGUGGGAAUCUUGUUAAGAGCCAGAAAACAUGGUCUGGUUCAUUUUGAAGGUGAAAUGCUUUGGCAAGGAAAAGAUGAUGAUGUGAUCAUCACUUUACUAGAAUAAGGCUUUGUCUAGUGAAUUCUGAUGCAUGGUUCCAUUUGGAAAAACAUAUCUAGAUACCAUCUUGAAGAUACCAUUACAGAAUUUUAAUUUAGCUACUUAGCGGGACACGAGCAGGAGAGAAAAUGGGUGAGCAGAGUAAAAAAUAUUUUUGUAAAAAUGGUAGAGAUUUGGACAGAAAUCACAAAUGAUGAACCAAUUCAUCACACUGCCAUAAUGGCUUGUCCUUUCAUUGUUAUCACCCGCUACCACGUAUACCACAGUUCUUUGGAUAACUCCAUGGGCUUACCGCUCUACAUUACUGAAAGUAUAAGUUACUAACUUGCUACCAUACACCACUACUUCUUGCAUGUUGUGAAAUACUCACUGUGUGUGGGAUUUUGAUUUGUAAAACAAGGAAUUGAAAAAUUUUUGGGGAAUUUAUAUACUUCUUCAAAAACAGAGCCUGGUAUAUAGCAAAAGUUUAGAUUGUUUUCACAUGGUAAAACUGAAUAAAUGGAAAUUGUUGUCAUGAAGUA